CAUACAAGGCAGACGGCUCAGUAACGCGUAGUCAACCUAACCUAUGGACGGGAAUAACCUCGGGAAACUGAGAAUAAUGCCCGAUAGAACACUAUACCUGGAAUGGUUUGUGUUCCAAAUGAUUUAUCGCCGUAGGAUGGGACUGCGGCCUAUCAGUUUGUUGGUGAGGUAAUGGCCCACCAAGACUAUUACAGGUACGGGCUCUGAGAGGAGUAGCCCGGAGAUGGGUACUGAGACACGGACCCAGGCCCUAUGGGGCGCAGCAGGCGAGAAAACUUUGCAAUGUGCGAAAGCACGACAAGGUUAAUCCGAGUGGUUUCUGCUAAAGGAACCUUUUGUCGGUCCUAGAAACACCGAUGAAUAAGGGGUGGGCAAGUUCUGGUGUCAGCCGCCGCGGUAAAACCAGCACCUCAAGUGGUCAGGAUGAUUAUUGGGCCUAAAGCAUCCGUAGCCGGCUCUGUAAGUUUUCGGUUAAAUCUGUACGCUCAACGUACAGGCUGCCGGGAAUACUGCAGAGCUAGGGAGUGGGAGAGGUAGACGGUACUCGGUAGGAAGGGGUAAAAUCCUUUGAUCUAUUGAUGACCACCUGUGGCGAAGGCGGUCUACCAGAACACGUCCGACGGUGAGGGAUGAAAGCUGGGGGAGCAAACCGGAUUAGAUACCCGGGUAGUCCCAGCUGUAAACUAUGCAAACUCAGUGAUGCAUUGACUUGUGGUCAAUGCAGUGCUGCAGGGAAGCCGUUAAGUUUGCCGCCUGGGAAGUACGUACGCAAGUAUGAAACUUAAAGGAAUUGGCGGGGGAGCACCACAAGGGGUGAAGCCUGCGGUUCAAUUGGAGUCAACGCCGGA
rnacentral:rRNA from 1 species